rnacentral:SRP_RNA from 1 species
GUGUGCUGAGCGGGGCGCUAGGGGUGCCCUGUACCCGAAACCCUCUUCAUGCGGGGCUGAUCCCCCGCCCGAGGACGUUUCGUCGGCCAGAAAGCAGCGGGACGACGGUGUUGAAGGCCGGGUCCUGCAACGGCGAGAGUUUCGUGAACCGGGUCAGGUCCGAGAGGAAGCAGCCCUAAGCGACGCUUCUCGGGUGUUGCGGGAGUGCCCGGCCGGAGCCGUGGUUGCGAAGAGCUCUGGCCUUUGAACGUCCGACGGCGGGGUGCACAC